rnacentral:rRNA from 1 species
GGCAACCCUGACGGAGCAACGCCGCGUGGGGGAGGAAGGUCUGUGGAUUGUAAACCCCUUUUCUCUGUGAAGAAGAUCUGACGGUAGCAGAGGAAUCAGCAUCGGCUAACUCCGUGCCAGCAGCCGCGGUAAGACGGAGGAUGCAAGCGUUAUCCGGAAUUAUUGGGCGUAAAGCGUCCGUAGGCGGUUCAUCAAGUCUGCCGUUAAAGACUACAGCUUAACUGUGGGCCGGCGGUGGAAACUGAGGAACUUGAGUAUGGUAGAGGUAGAGGGAAUUCCCAGUGUAGCGGUGAAAUGCGUAGAGAUUGGAAAGAACACCAGUGGCGAAGGCGCUCUACUGGACCGUAACUGACACUCAGGGACGAAAGCUAGGGUAGCG